CUUAGGAGGAGGAUACAGCUGGAAACGGUUGCUAAUACUCCAUAUGCCGAGAGGUGAAAGGAUUUAUCCACCUAAGGAGGAGCUCGCGUCUGAUUAGCUAGUUGGUAGGGUAAUGGCCUACCAAGGCGACGAUCAGUAGCUGGUUUGAGAGGAUGAUCAGCCACACUGGGACUGAGACACGGCCCAGACUCCUACGGGAGGCAGCAGUAGGGAAUUUUCCGCAAUGGGCGAAAGCCUGACGGAGCAAUACCGCGUGAGGGAUGACGGCCUGUGGGUUGUAAACCUCUUUUCUCAGGGAAGAAGUUCUGACGGUACUUGAGGAAUAAGCAUCGGCUAACUCUGUGCCAGCAGCCGCGGUAAUACAGAGGAUGCAAGCGUUAUCCGGAAUCACUGGGCAUAAAGCGUCUGUAGGUGGUUUGGUAAGUCUGCUGUUAAAGACUGGGGCUCAACCCCAGAAAAGCAGUGGAAACUGCCAGACUUGAGUGUGGUAGAGGUAGAGGGAAUUCCUAGUGUAGCGGUGAAAUGCGUAGAUAUUAGGAAGAACACCAAUGGCGAAGGCACUCUACUGGACCAUAACUGACACUGAGAGACGACAGCUAGGGGAGC
rnacentral:rRNA from 1 species